CCUCAGUGAUUUUUCUAUUGAGUGGCUUUGGACAUUGCAUGUCACACUCAUUUGUAUUGUGCCAUGAAACUGCCCUUGCACAGAUGAAUAUAUCCAAUGAUUCUGCUAUUCCUCCAGGCUUUGUUAGUGAUGUUCCAACUACUCUUGCAUGGGAUAAUGAUGAUUUCUCAGAAGAAACUAGAUCUGGCAAAGGGACAACUCACAUCACUGGGGGCAUUAUCAUUCAAAGGGAACAAAGUGCAAGUACUGAGUUACAGAAACGGGAUAGCAUUCCAAGGCUAUAUUUAAGCGAAAUAUUUAACUUGUUUCUUGAUUGUGUGAGUUGUAUGUAUAUUUAUAUAUUCUCCAUCCUGUUUGAUACAGGUGGGUUUUUUACCUCACAAUUUUUUAUUGAAUUAAGUUGUUAAUAAGUAGAAUUAUACGUUAAAACGGUAUUUUGAAACAAUAGCCAAUGAAUUGAAGUGAUUUAGCAUAUGAGCAAGCAAAAUGUACAAUGUGUUUUAACAAUAUUUAAUGUGUGUGUAUUUAUUCGUUAAUAUUACAAGGUUUGAUCUUUAUUCCGUGAUUUUAUUUUGUUAUUUUUACACGGGAAAUCGGGGAAAACCCACAGGGAAAAUCCAUUUUUCCUGUCUGCGCGUGCGCAGUGCGAGUUUGGCUGACAUGCGCAUGCGUAUUUGCUACUAAAACAAUGGCGGUUCGAAUAUUUCGAAGCGCGAAUAUAGCAAACUUUGGAGGGAUUUUUUUCCCAAUUGUGCACCUGUUUCACUUGGGGAGCGACGGAUUCUGAUAAAGAGCUGUUAGAGACUUUGGUUAUCUUGGAUGUUUGGAUGAUUGGACGUUCAUUACCAGUACUUUAUUUUAGGUGUUGUAUUUUUGGUAUAAAGUUUCUAAACAGAUCCUUGAACCACUUCCUAUCCACUUAACAGAUUAUGAUAUCCAU